rnacentral:miRNA from 1 species
UCUUAAUAAAAAAGCAGCCGUUAAGAUUCAUUCUAACGGCUGCUUUUUUAAUGGAA